rnacentral:tRNA from 1 species
AUUUCUAUAGUUGAAAUACAACGAUGGUUUUUCAGA